rfam:Lemur catta clone LB2-251E18, complete sequence.
GGAUAGUAUCCAUGGGAAUCAGAUAGGAUGCUGCACCCUAGACAGAAUUGUCUCACCAUUUGAAUAGGUAUUGCUCAGUCUGGAUUCAGUCAUCCCAGGGACGUUGGCUUUCUGGGUUUCUGUCUUCUUGGAUGGCUGCUUGUCACAAUAUUGUCUUCUUUGCUUUAGGCAAA